rnacentral:rRNA from 1 species
ACUCAAAUGAAUUGACGGGGACCCGCACAAGCAGCGGAGCGUGUGGUUUAAUUCGACGCGACGCGCAGAACCUUACCAGGGCUUGACAUGCUCUCGCACCGUCUAGAGAUAGAUGUGCCCGCAAGGGACGGGAGCACAGGUGCUGCAUGGCUGUCGUCAGCUCGUGCCGUGAGGUGUUGGGUUAAGUCCCGCAACGAGCGCAACCCCCAUCGUCGGUUGCACAUGUCCGACGAGACUGCCACGAUCAACGUGGAGGAAGGUGGGGAUGACGUCAAGUCAGCACGGCCCUUACGUCCUGGGCCACACACACGCUACAAUGGCCGCGACAAAGGGGAGCCAACCCGCGAGGGGCAGCCAAUCCCAGCAAAGGCGGUCUCAGUUCGGAUGGCAGGCUGCAACCCGCCUGCCUGAAGUGGGAGUUGCUAGUAACCGUGAGUCAGCACAUCACGGUGAAUACGUUCCCGGGUCUUGUACACACCGCCCGU